UACGAAGGGGGCUAGCGUUGUUCGGAAUUACUGGGCGUAAAGCGCGCGCAGGCGGUCUUCCAAGUCAGUGGUGAAAGCCGGCAGCUCAACUCCGGAACUGCCAUUGAAACUGUAAGACUUGAGGAUGAGAGAGGUGAGUGGAAUUCCCAGUGUAGAGGUGAAAUUCGUAGAUAUUGGGAAGAACACCGGUGGCGAAGGCGGCUCACUGGCUCAUAUCUGACGCUCAGGCGCGACAGCGUGGGGAUCAAACAGG
rnacentral:rRNA from 1 species